rnacentral:rRNA from 1 species
AUUGAACGCUGGCGGCAGGCCUAACACAUGCAAGUCGAACGAGUGGCGGACGGGUGAGUAAUGUCUGGGAAACUGCCUGAUGGAGGGGGAUACCUACUGGAAACGGUAGCUAAUCCCGCAUACCAUCCGAUGUACCCCGCUGGGAUUAGCUAGUUGGUGGGGUAACGGUUCACCAAGGCGACGAGCCCUAGCUGGUCUGAGAGGAUGAACAGCCACACUGGGACUGAGACACGGUCCAGACUCCUACGGGAGGCAGCAGUGGGGAAUAUUGCACAAUGGGCGCAAGCCUGAUGCAGCCAUGCCGCGUGUAUGAAGAAGGCCUUCGGGUUGUAAAGUACUUUCAGCGGGGAGGCGUUACCCGCAGAAGAAGCACCGGCUAACUCCGUGCCAGCAGCCGCGGUAAUUC